AGAAUCAACGCUGGCGGCGUGCCUCAGACAUGCAAGUCGAACGCGAAAGUCCCCUUCGGGGGGCAAGUAGAGUGGCGCACGGGUGAGUAACACGUAGGUAAUCUACCUUUGGAUGGGGAAUAACAAUCGGAAACGAUUGCUAAUACCGCAUAAUGCAGCGGCACCUAAUGGUGACAGUUGUUAAAGCGGGGGAUCGAAAGACCUCGCGUCUGAAGAGGAGCCUGCGGCGGAUUAGCUAGUUGGUAAGGUAAUGGCUUACCAAGGCUACGAUCC
rnacentral:rRNA from 1 species